rnacentral:lncRNA from 10 species
CUGUCUCAGCCUCCCGAGUAGCUGGGGACUACAGAUGCGCACCACCAUGCCCGGCUAAUUUUUGUAUUUUUCGGCGGAGACAGGGUUUUACCGUGUUGCCCAGCUGGUCUCAAACUUCUGACCUCAAGUGAUUUGCCUGCCUUGGCCUCCCAGAAUGCUGGCAUUACAGGUGUGAGCCACCGCUCCAGGACUAUAUUAUCAAUCUCUAUCCGGUAAUUGCUUCCCUGGGAAGAGAGAAAGCCAACUAAAAUCAGAUCGAACGAAAAGGAAAGAAGAUUGGAUAUGAAAACCUACAGAGCCCAACAUUCCAGGACAUCGGAGUAGCCACUGAAGACAAUUUAGAAGGAAUGAUAGAAAGGCAACCACUUUUUCUCUUCAAAUCAAACCAAGGUUUUGGCAUACUAGAAAUGAAAAGCAGAGUUCCUCCUUUCCAAAUAGAAACAGAUGCAUUUGCUCCCUGAAAUAACUUCAGAAGAUGUUUUCUUGAAAC